AAACUAUCUCUCCUCAAAAAAAGACAUAUAAAUGUGAUGGAAGCUAAAGAAAUAUCACAAAGGUCACAGUUAGGUGUCGCUCAAUGGUUUCUCCCCAUAGUAGUUUCAACUUUACAUAAGGAACUACAUACAUUUACUUCAUUAUGUAUCAAUAACAACAAUAUACGUCUUGUAUAUCCUCAUACUAAUUGCUAGUUUUCAUUUAAAUAGCACAUGUUUCUAGUACAUUAGUCACUGUACAAGUUUCUAGCAUCAUGAGCGGUUGUACAUUACCUCGUCUGACCAUGAAGAUACUUUGUUUCCUAUACUUUCUGCUGUUGUGCUUGACAAUAAGCACAGCUCAAAUUGACAUCAGGAAAAGGCCAAACGAAGACAAAUAUCCGCAUGCGAAGACCGCGAGGGAAAUAUUAUGCAGCUACUAUCCCAAUCAAUGCCAAUGACAAACACAACAUUGUAAUGAAGUAAAUUAAGAGAAGAAAGAGAAAGAAGAAGAAACUAAGACAUCGUUAGCGAACAAGCGAGCAAGAAUGGCAGAGAAGAGAGAAGAGCACAUCACACUCAAAAUCAUUUAACUAUAAAAAUCACGGUUUACACACGUAAAUUAAUGGUGAAAAACGCUACUAGUUUCGAGUCACAAAGGGACUCUCCUCCGUCCAUUACCGUCAUCAUUCAACGCAUUUGUAACGCCACUGGUGUUUCAAGUGUCCAUGGGCAGCGGCGAUUGCUUACCAUCAGGUGAUCCGUCUGCUCGUUUGCCGGCUUAUUCCAUAAAACAAAAACAUGAGCAGCGUGCGCAGACGCGGCGAUGUCGCGCAGCUAAUUGUAACCUAUAUUCUUCGGGACGUAACUUGGCAAUUUUUUUUUAAAUAUUAAGAAAGUUCCGCCAAUCGCACAGGGAUUGAUCCUCACAAGCAUCGUGCGCAGACGCGGCGUUGCGCUGACUAUUGAACGUCCGCGUCCGCGUAUUUUUAGUUAAUAAAGUAAUUUUCUUGAAAAAAAAAUUUAUAACAAAAUCUUGCCAAGUUAUCUGCCAACCUUUAUACUACCUGUGACUUGGAAACUAGUAUAGCUUUUCUCCAUUUAUUUACGUACGUAAGCCGUGAUUUUUAGUUAAUUUAAUAUGUCUCACGAUAGGUACGGUAUUAUAAAAACGUAUAAAAAUAAUUUAUUUCAAAUAGACCAGGAAGGCACUUUAGAAUAUCAAAAUAAAAUAUUAAAAAAAUGUACAGACGAAUUGGAAACCUCAUUCUUUCUGGAUAGUUGAUUUGCGAAAAUAAACAAUAAUUUUAUUACGAACAA